rnacentral:rRNA from 1 species
UACGUAGGCAGCAAGCGUUGUUCGGAGUUACUGGGCGUAAAGGGUGCGUAGGCGGUUGUUUAAGUUUGGGGUGAAAUCUCCCGGCUCAACUGGGAGGGUGCGCCGAAUACUGAAUGACUAGAGUGCGGGAGAGGAUAGUGGAAUUCCUGGUGUAGCGGUGAAAUGCGUAGAUAUCAGGAGGAACACCGGUGGUGUAGACGGCUAUCUGGACCGUAACUGACGCUGAGGCACGAAAGCGUGGGUAGCAAACAGG